CGCGUAGGCGGUUUGCUAAGUUGAAUGUGAAAACUCUGGGCUUAACCCAGAGCCUGCAUUCAAUACUGGCAGGCUAGAGUUCUGGAGGGGAUAGCGGAAUUCCUGGUGUAGCGGUGAAAUGCGUAGAUAUCAGGAGGAACACCGGUGGCGAAGGCGGCUAUCUGGACAGAGUCUGACGCUGAGGCGCAAAGCUAGGGAGCAAACA
rnacentral:rRNA from 1 species